rnacentral:rRNA from 1 species
CCUACGGGGGGCAGCAGUGGGGAAUAUUGGACAAUGGGGGCAACCCUGAUCCAGCCAUGCCGCGUGUGUGAAGAAGGCCCUCGGGUUGUAAAGCACUUUCAGUGAGGAAGAACGCCUGGUGGUUAAUACCCAUCAGGAAAGACAUCACUCACAGAAGAAGCACCGGCUAACUCCGUGCCAGCAGCCGCGGUAAUACGGAGGGUGCGAGCGUUAAUCGGAAUUACUGGGCGUAAAGCGCGCGUAGGUGGCUUGAUAAGCCGGUUGUGAAAGCCCCGGGCUCAACCUGGGAACGGCAUCCGGAACUGUCAAGCUAGAGUGCAGGAGAGGAGGGUAGAAUUCCCGGUGUAGCGGUGAAAUGCGUAGAGAUCGGGAGGAAUACCAGUGGCGAAGGCGGCCUUCUGGACUGACACUGACACUGAGGUGCGAAAGCGUGGGUAGCAAACAGGAUUAGAUACCCGUGUAGUC